GAUGAACGCUAGCGGCAGGCCUAAUACAUGCAAGCCGAACGGCAAGUUUGAUAGCAAUAUUGGACCUAGAGUGGCGCAAGGGUGCGUAACACGUAUGCAACCUGCCCGCGACAGGAGGAUAGCUCCCCGAAAGGGGAAUUAACCCUCCAUAACACCAUGAGAAGGCAUCUGAUUAUGGUUAAACCGCAAGGGGUCGCGGAUGGGCAUGCGGUUGAUUAGCUAGUUGGCGGGGUAAAGGCCCACCAAGGCGGUGAUCAAUAGGGGUUCUGAGAGGAAGGUCCCCCGAACUGGCACUGGGAUACGGGCCAGACUCCUACGGGAGGCAGCAGUAGGGAAGAUUGGGCAAUGGUUGCAAGACUGAUCCAGCCAGGCCGCGUGCAGGAAGAAGGCCUUCUGGGUCGUAAACUGCUUUUUCCUGUGGAUAAAAUACCCGUGCGCGGGGAAUUGAAGGUAACAGGGGAAUAAGCCACGGCUAACUACGUG
rnacentral:rRNA from 1 species